rnacentral:rRNA from 1 species
AUGGCUGCCGGCGGCAGAAUGAUGGAGAAGGAGCAGGAGAAGCAGGAGCUGCUCGGUCGCGCUAGCGCCGAUCAAGAAGGCAAUCCCGCCUCACGCUUCCAGUGCUCGGUGAUCAGGUCCUUCUCCUAUGUGGUCUAUGACCUUGUCAUCAUCGCGUCCCUCCUAUACGCCACGUUGGUCUGGAUCCCAGCACUCCCGAGCAUGCAACAGCUGGGCGCCUGUCCGCUCUACUGGGUCGUGCAGGGCUGCGUCAUGAACGACAUCUGGGUGAUCGCCCAUGAGUGCGGCCACCAUGCCUUCUCCGACUACUUGCUGCUCGACAACAUGGUCAGAAGCUCAUUAUCGUCUUGUCUAGCAUUGCUAUUAUUCUGA